CAGUCGCCACGGGAAUACGGAGGGUGCAAGCGUUAAUCGGAAUUACUGGGCGUAAAGCGCACGCAGGCGGUCUGACAAGUCAGAUGUGAAAUCCCCGGGCUUAACCUGGGAACUGCAUUUGAAACUGUCAGGCUGGAGUCUUGUAGAGGGGGGUGGAAUUCCAGGUGUAGCGGUGAAAUGCGUAGAGAUCUGGAGGAAUACCGGUGGCGAAGGCGGCCCCCUGGACAAAGACUGACGCUCAGGUGCGAAAGCGUGGGGAGCAAACAGGAUUAGAUACCCCAGUAGUCCUGUCUCUUAUACC
rnacentral:rRNA from 1 species